GUGGUGGUUUAAAUUGAAGCAUACCAAACCACAGGUGUGACAAGAGGUUAAGAAGGAGAGUCCUUUGAAACAAUCUAAUGCCACAUGGGAACUAGCCUCACUCACCAAGCAUUGAGUCAGCUGAGCUAACCGACCGCCAACAUGAUAUGAAUGAACAGGGGAAGGCGCGCUUUUUAAAAGGGUCUGGGUACUCUCGAAUUCACACAAGCAGCUUCAAGAAAGAGCCACGAGAUCAAAACAUCACUACAAAUGCAGAAUAACAGAUCACCUUAAGCAAGCGUAAUUGAGGGAGAGCAAAAAAAAAAGCAGUCAAUAGUAGAAUCUUCCGAGCGGCUGGAGAAGAAAUUAACAGAAGACAGCGUCGGAUCAGCGUUCAUGCCUCUGGCGAUCUGAAAUUGCCAUCAACCUGAAAUUGCCACCUGCGACUUCCCGCCUUCGCCCUCGUUGUUAACACUUACGACAGAUUCGGCUUCCUCAGCAGACUAUAGCUCCACUUUCAAGGGGCUCUCCCUGCCACCCCCCAACCCCCUCGCCGCCCACACCAUCCCCAUUCCCAAAACCAUCUCCCUGCAUCGGUAAUCUCAGAUCUUCGAAAAUUCUACAUUCUGAGUUCGAUAUAUUUUAACUAACCUGUUCAGAAAUAUGCACUUCUGGAGCAGGUGGGACUUAUGCCCUGGUGUCCUAGCUCAGAGACAGGGACACCACAUCUACGUCAUGCCCUAAUGUUUAAUUAGCCGCCGCCAGGAGGAUUUCUCGGCUGACGUUCCCAAUUGUCAAAGCAAUAGCUGACACGCGACUGCGCCGAAAACUACACAAGCUUUAUCCGAUGGCCCAAAAUUCCAUUUUAAAAAUGAACUAAAACACAGAAAAGCUAUUUUGCUGGAAUUGUUUGAGGUCAACGGGCAGAAUUUCGCUAUUCUCUUUUGUAUGGCCUCAGACAGGUGACAAACAAAUAUAGCUCGGUUGGCGCUCAUCUGAAAGGUUACGUGGCUGAUAAAGUCAUGAUUUGGAGAUGGCGUUGUUGGACUGGGAUGCUCAAAGUUAAAAAUCACUACGCUAGGUUAUAGUCCAACAGGUUUAUUUGGAAGCACUAGCUUUCGGAGCGCUCUCCUUAUCAGGUGAUUAGGAAGUAUAAGAUCGUAAGAUAUAGAAUUUAUAGCAAAAGCUUACAG